UACGUAGGGUGCGAGCGUUAAUCGGAAUUACUGGGCGUAAAGCGUGCGCAGGCGGCUUUGCCAGACAGAUGUGAAAUCCCCGGGCUCAACCUGGGAACUGCAUUUGUGACUGCAAGGCUAGAGUACGGCAGAGGGGGAUGGAAUUCCGCGUGUAGCAGUGAAAUGCGUAGAUAUGCGGAGGAACACCAAUGGCGAAGGCAAUCCCCUGGGCCUGUACUGACGCUCAUGCACGAAAGCGUGGGGAGCAAACAGG
rnacentral:rRNA from 1 species